ACUUACAACUGUGGUAAGUGACUUAUUAUUUCAUUUUCCCCCUCAGUCUUUGGUAACUAUAUGUAUGUAUCUACAUUCGCGAUUCAUAUUGGUAACGUUAACCCCGGAUUGACGCAUCCUCCGUCCGCGGGGCGCGAAGCAGACUUGCGCGGGGUUCUUCCUCAUCGCGGUCGCGGUAAGAUCUCACACAUUCCCCGGCGCUAUAGGAUAUAAUUCGGCUAUGGGCCAAAAUUUAAUAAUUACAAACAGUUGGAAUUCACGGGAACUUCGUGUUCAUCAGCACACUUGGUUGUGAUUAUUUUAUGGCGGAAAUCACAUUUGUACAGGCAGACAGUCAUCUGUUAACACGGGCCGAAACGAAAAAGCCUCGCAAGUCGCAACGCGAUCAGGCCGCUCACGGAGGAUGUGUCACGCAAAAUGGUGCUGCUUCAUGCUGUUAACAUAACCAAUGUGAUGCAUUUGUGGACAUUUGCUAACUUAAGGUAAUGCAAACACUUUAACAUCUCUGUUUGAUAAGGUUUGCCUUGUACUAUAGUUAAUUUAUUACCAUACCAAAACGAAAUCUUUUUUAACUUGAAAUGAAAUGUGCUAUUUACAAUAUGUGUGUUUGUUGACACUUGAACAAACUGAUCAUCGUGUACCUGCCUUUUAGAUAUUCAUUUUAUAUCCAUUGAGGCCUUUAACACUGUGUUUCUCAACUAGAUUAGACAUUUAUUUUUUAGGUUGAAUGUUUUAGAUGUCUCUCUGUUUGAUGCUGGCAAACAAAUUAGUUAAAUAAGGUGUUUUGAUUAGUGGGACAUCUAAAACUUUCUGGGAGGUAGGUCUUCAGGACUGGAGUUGUGAUAGCUACUGCUCUACCACUUGGUACAAUUUCCAAAACAUGAUUACAUGCCUCAAAAGCUAAAACCAAUCUGAAAUGUCUGUUUCCUGACCCUUUAUGCACUUCGUAGGUAUUUAUCCGGAGAGAGGAACAAAGACGAAAGGAAAAGUGCCAUCUAACAAGCCAGACAGUUCAGAAGAAACGGGUUGCGGUCAACCUACAUGUUGCCACUCUUCAGUGCAAAGUGAUAGAUUUUCAGUGGAAUUUCUGAAAUCCUCUCUUUGAAUCCUGGGAUGGAACAUCAUCUGGAGCAUUUUUGAUCACAAGUUUGUUGGACUUGUUGUUUGGCCAUGUUGGUCUGUUCAUAAAGUGAUGAAAGUGAUCUGGUUUUUAAGAAAUGUUUUUAUAUGACCAUGUUGCUCAAGUUAUAGUUAUAACGCAGUUUGCAUAUUUCUUUGUGUGAAGGGCCAUGAUGGCCAAUAAGUAAUUUAAAAAUGUUUUCAUGACAAUUUUAUGUCCAUUUAAAAAAUAAAAUGAUUUUCUAAAUAAAAAA